rnacentral:snRNA from 1 species
GACCUCCCGGGAAGUCCUC